AUUUUUGAUAAAAUUGACUUUUAUUAUUUUUCUCAAAUAUUUAAAACAUUGUAAUGUCUUAAUAUUUAAUAUCUGUCCUGACUAUUCCUAUAGAUAGGAUUUUGUUAAGUAAAAUUAUCCACUUGAAUAAAAUUACAGUGCUCAAUCUGAAUUUCAAUUUGACCAUUCAAACUUUGCAAGUUUUAACAAAGUUAUUCGGUUAAUCUGAGUUGUACAUAUAACAAUUUUACAAUGACAAAGAAAUUUAAUUUAAAAUUCUUAUUAUUUUCCUAUAUAUUUGAUGUAUCUCAUUUUUUAACUAGUUAAGCGAACUGUCCUUCUUUGUUUUAUUGAUUUUAGUUGGAUAAUUUAUAAUAAUAUUAAUAAUAAUAAUGUUAUUCUCUUAACCUAGUCACAAACCUUUCUGAUAAAUUAAUUUAAUUUUAGACUAGAAAAUAUAAACAUAUUAAGACAAUAGGAUUGUACUCACUAUAUUAUAGAAAAUAGCAAUCAAUAAACCAUUUUGUUUCACUAGUCGUAGCAUUAUCUAACGAGUAUAAUUUAAAAUUGAUUUAAAAAUUGUUAGGAUGUUAGGUUAGCACUAUAAUCCGAAAACCAGAAUAUAGCUUUUUAAGUUAUAGCAUUUUAAGUACUUAGUACAAUUUUAGUAUUUCAAAGUUAGUUCUUUUAAUAAUUGUGUUAUGUUUUUGUAUAUAUACCUAUUAUAUGGUAUUUUAUAAUUGACUAUAGGUACAUAAGUACAUGAUGUUAUAAUUAAAAUGUAAAAACGUGUAUGUUUUCUUCCUGUUUCAGACAAUACUGUGUUUAUAUACGUUAGAUCGCUGAUAAUAUAUAAUAUGCCUAACACAUAAUUCAGAGAGUAGUCUAGCGAAAGCGAUUCGUUAAAAUUUAGACUAUUUAUGGAAACCUGGGGUAAUUGGACAUUUAGUACGGAAAACGAAGAUUUAUUGGCUGGAGUGUUAAACAAAUUCGCUUCGGAUCAAUGCAGCUUAGAUACACCGAAAAAAGUUCUUUUGUCGUCUUUGGCUGCUUCAUCGAAAACUGUACGUGUUGAAACCUCCAGUUCGAGCAGCGAUGACAGCGAUAUUGACGGAGACUUUAACGCCGUUCAGGCGUGUUUUCCAAAAUCCUGCUCAGACGUGUCAUCGAAUGUGGAAUCUAAGCCUACAGCGUCUGUCGUCGACGACUUGCAGCUACAGCCUGCCUGCACCGGCGCUACAUUGGGUAAUUUUAACGACGAAUCUUCCUUCCUGCCGAGUCAACCGCAGGUGGAAGACCCACACGAAAACGCAAUAAAACAAAUCGUCGAAAUGUUAAACGCUGGAGACUACGACACCAAAGAAUUGUUUUCCGCGUUGCAGACUGAGCGAAGCAACCGGAAAGACGUGUCGGAGAUAAUCGGGGACGUGUGGCCGGAAAUUGUCACUGACAAAGCUCGCCACGGUUUUUGCGAAGCACUUGUCCAAACCGACGUAAGGCCGCAAAUAAUUUGUGAAGAGAUCUAUUUACCCUGGUUCAAAACACGUGAGUCGAAUUUGACUGGGUUCGUUGACAGUCUGUCCAAACUGAUUGUCCACUUUCCAGAAUACGCUUGCAAGUCAUUCCUCGUCAAACUGCUGAUAGACAGAGAAUCGAUUCUAGUUAAACACUUGAAUUGGCUCGUGGACAUCAUGAAAUCUCUCGACCAACAACAUUGGUGUAUUCUUUUAAACGAAUACAUAAAUAACUGCGAUGGUCUGGAUCAGUAUCAAAUACCAGUUUUGUUGCACUUGGUGAACAAUUGCCAAAAAAGACUAAACAACGAUGACGCCGAACGUCUGGUGGAGUUGUGCAGAAACUCGGCCCAUGAAUAUUCUACUAACAGAGACUUUGGGUUGUUGUUAAUGUCCGUGAUUGGAGCAAUCGACUUGGACAAAUUUCGAUCGGAAAUGACGACAGUAUGCGGACAACUGAAAGGCGUUUCGAAGUUUAUGAUCAUGAAAGCUCUAAAGGAUUCUAAAUAAAUCAGUAUACCUAUAUUGUUUAUUACCUUAUAAAUUGUUAAAUUAAAAUGUUUUUAUAAUAUUAUUAAAUAAUUAUUUAUGUGAUACAUUUUUUUUGCGAUUAUAUCCAAAAGUAUAGCCCUAUAUGUGCAUGUAUAAUUUAGGUCACAGCACUAAGUAUAACAUUAGUAUACCUGGGAAUUUUUUGUUUAUGGCUAUUGAAUAUAUUAUAUUAUUAUCUAAGCUCGGGCGACAAACGAUCAGUCUCACCUACAUGUAUAUAUUAUGUUAACGCGUGUUUACUGAAUUUGACAGUAAUUUUUGGGUAAGCACCCAAAAAUAAAAUGAAAAUAGCGGAGGAGCUCCGUCUCCUUGUGAACCUCCCAAUUCGAGCAUUAGAUAGGAUUUUAAAAAAACAAUCACGGCUUUGCUAGAUAUUGCUCUACAAUGCAUUAAUACUAUAUUAUCUUUUGUAAUUAUAUUGGUAAAUAUCAUUUAUAAUAGUUUUUUAUAUUAGUUUGUUUACUAAAUUGUUACACUUUAACAUUUUAGAAUGUAAUUAAUUGGUCGUCAGUCGUAACUCUGUUCUGGUCUUGCAGUUGCAAAGAAUCAAGUAUACAUGAAUCCAUAUUGGAAAAAGUUUCUGAACUUUAUCCAGAUCCAUGGAAAGUUUUUAUUGGAUAAUCAUUCUAUUAUGAUUCACGUAAGUAAAAUAAACAUUAUUUAACUAUUUAUUUAGAAUAGUAAAUGCCUUAUUGGGAAUACAGAGUACAGUUAAAUUAAUAUAAAAACUAAUAUUUGAUAAAGAAUUUUGGCUGAGGAAUGAGGACAAAAAGAAUAACAACAUUUAAAAACAAUAACGAGUUACAAAUUUCGAUAUGGUUUCCAAGCGGAAAAUUUUUUUUGCUUCUAUAAAUUAUAAAUAUUGUUUAAUCAAUAUAUCAUAGAAUGAAAAAAAAGUCUAAAUAAUUUUUUAUGAACCAUUUUCUAGGCAUAUGGUAUAAUGUUCAACACUUGUGGGCUCUUCUGUGCUAUUUGCACUGCUUAUAAACAUAAAAAAUACAUACCUAUAUGCACAAUAUUUUUUUGUAUGAGCACUUGAAUCCAAAAUUUUUUGAAAUUUGAUAUUUAAAUAAAAAAUAACAACUUUAAUUAUUUUGUUGUUUUUCAAAAAAUAUUAUUCGUGGUGACCUCAAACUUUUUGCCAUUAGGUACUUGAGCAUAAUAUCUUUACACAAUCAUUCAAUGACGAGUUAACCCGGCACAUUUCAUAGGUAUUUACAGAAAAAUGAGUUCUCUGUUUUUUUUUCUUAUAUUGUAUUAACUAUUAAUAAUAAAUAAUGUAAAUAUAAAAAUAUAUACAUAAGUAAUAUUUAUAUUUACAUUAUAAAUUUUAACACUUUAUUUCCCCAAAACUAAAACCCCUACGAAAACAUGUUUAUUCAGAAUAAUUACUAAUACUAAUUACUCACUCACGAAAAAUGAACUAAUUAUCAGUAUUGACUAUUGGCUAUUGCUUAUAUUAAUAAAUGGACACCUUACACACAAUGUAUAGGCCAUUUUCCAUACACUAACGGUGCGCAAAUAUUGCAACCGUUGGUGCAAAAUAUACGUAUAUAAUCCGACUUCGAUGAAUCUGCAUCAUAGUAUAGUUUCUGUAUUUCAACUCCUGGUGCAACGAAACUAGGAAACCAAGCUGAUGACUGACGUGCAACACAUUUCGCCAUUUCGGUUUGACUAAUGAGUCACGAAUUAAGACAAACUUGAUAGGAAUUUGCACUCAGUAUUAAAGAUUCGUGGUAUAUGCAUGAAUAUUCCAUUUAUGUUCUAUCAUAGAUUAAAUAUACUUAAGUAUACUUAAGUAUAUUUAAUUUAUGGUUCUAUGCUCAAUAAUACUAUCAUCAUGACGUGACAUGUGACAAUUAUUGACAAACAAUACUCAUAUAGUUAUAACUUAUAAGUUAUAACACAAUAUUGUUUCAUUGUUUAGGUCGGUCGUAAACUUGCGCAAUGCGUACUGCGCACUUGACAGAUAUCUAUAGAAGUGAGUGUCGAAUACAAACUGUAGACUCCGGUAGUCGGUGUGCGCAGUUACCACGUUGCGCUUCAGUGCUUGUCGCCGGCGAUUUGUAUUACGCCGGUUAUUGGUGUCGUCGAACUUUUUUUCGUCUAGCCAGAUCGAAUCUUUUUAAUUACGUGACAACUAUUGCUCCACACCUUGUGGUUCUCAGUAUUACCUAUCCAUAGAUAUAAUAUAAUAUACUGAUAAACGUAAGUAUCAUAAAUUAUAAUUUAUAGGAUUCAGUCGUUUUGGUUGGAGUUUUGCGAAUCGACACUUAAGCUGGACAUGAUCUCUGAAAAUUCGGCGAGCAGUAGUAAAAUCGUGGAGAUCGACUGGAAAAAUGUCUCCCAGAUAUUUGGUAAUUUAGUACACUGCAGAUAGUCACGUCCGGGAUUAAGUCUGAGAGGCAGUAUAAGCACAUACUUUUAAAUAGGCCUGUUGUACAGCAACAUUCAACUUUUAUAGAUGUAUUAGCAAUAAAGUCUCAUCUUGGAAAUAA